CACGGGGGGUUGCGAGCGUUGUCCGGAAUUACUGGGGCGUAAAGCGCACGUAGGCGGAUUGUUAAGUUAGGGGUGAAAUCCCGGGGCUCAACCUCGGAACUGCCUUUGAUACUGGCAAUCUUGAGUCCGGAAGAGGUGAGUGGAAUUCCUAGUAUAGAGGUGAAAUUCGUAGAUAUUAGGAAGAACACCAGUGGCGAAGGCGGCUCACUGGUCCGGAACUGACGCUGAGGUGCGAAAGCGUGGGGAGCAAACAGGAUUAGAUACCCCGGUAGUCCCUGAGCGGGCUGG
rnacentral:rRNA from 1 species